GGAGCAGAGCGUCUCACCGGGACUGUAGGUGUUCUCCUCCAGCUCUCUGUCUCCGGGCGGAGUCCGCGGAGGGCUGCGUGGGGGGGAGCGACAGCCCCUCUUCGGGCUGUGGACCCUGCCGUUCGUGAUCCCGCUCACCUGCUGGAGGACGGAGCCCACGAAUCGAACGCCCCCUCGGGCGCUGCUGUUCACCUGCCAGAACAAAAGACCAGGAAAAAGACCCAUAAUAUUGCAGAUGGCAACCAACUCAAUACACUUCCCCAUCCCGCUUACGAGCAGCGAAUAGGAACCGGGUACCGGUGCCCCGCCCCAUUCCAAGCUGUGUGAACCUUGACUGACCCUGUCGAUGAGCGCCCGGACAGUGUCGCCCGUCAGCGAGUCUCCAGGUAACGGCCACUCCUCCACCCUCAGCACCGGAACAGUGUGAUACAGGGACGACAUCUGCCUGCUGAUGACAAACAUCUGUGAGACAAACCAGUGGCUGACGCGAGGUCGUCAGCUUCUCUCUCUCAGGACAGUUUGUGGGUCAGACGCUCAGAACCGUCGAGGCCCGUCCAGCUGGAGGGUUCAUCGUUCACUUGUAAUCGUCGCCGAGGUGCAGACGCCAACACAUGAAUCAUUAACGGGCUCAGCAGGAGAUGAGAAGCAGCGACCGGCUCAGCAAUGACUCAAACGCGUGAUGAUGGUGUGUACGCGUGGCGCAGUGGGAUGCACACUGCUCGUGUACCCGUGUGUGAUCACAGAGUCCUGACAACGCUAAACGGGAACGUCCCUCACAGGGUCAUUUCAAAGUUUCACAAUGAAAAGAUG